rnacentral:tRNA from 1 species
GCGCCCUUAGCUCAGUCCGGAUAGAGCACUCGCCUUCUAAGCGAGCACGUCACACGUUCAAAUCGUGUAGGGCGCGCCA